rnacentral:ncRNA from 12 species
CCUCUGGACUACUACAUCAAACCUAAGUAGGUUGUUAGUAAUAACUUCCAAACAGGAGUAGGAUGAAUGAGGAA